GAAUUGUUCGCAAUGGGCGCAAGCCUGACGACGCAACGCCGCGUGGAGGAUGAAGAUCUUCGGGUCGUAAACUCCUUUCGAUUGGGACGAACGGUCUCCGGGUGAACAAUCCGGAGGCGUGACGGUACCGAGAGAAGGAGCCCCGGCUAACUCCGUGCCAGCAGCCGCGGUAAUACGGGGGGGGCAAGCGUUGUUCGGAAUUACUGGGCGUAAAGGGCUCGUAGGCGGCCAACUAAGUCAGACGUGAAAUCCCUCGGCUCAACCGGGGAACUGCGUCUGAUACUGGAUGGCUUGAGUCCGGGAGAGGGAUGCGGAAUUCCAGGUGUAGCGGUGAAAUGCGUAGAUAUCUGGAGGAACACCGGUGGCGAAGGCGGCAUCCUGGACCGGAACUGACGCUGAGGAGCGAAAGCCAGGGGAGCAAACGGG
rnacentral:rRNA from 1 species